UACAGAGGGGGCAAGCGUUGUUCGGAAUUACUGGGCGUAAAGGGCGCGUAGGCGGCCCGCUAAGUCGAACGUGAAAUCCCCGGGCUCAACCCGGGAACUGCGUCCGAUACUGGCAGGCUUGAAUCCGGGAGAGGGAUGCGGAAUUCCAGGUGUAGCGGUGAAAUGCGUAGAUAUCGUGAGGAACACCCGGUGGCGAAGGCGGCGUCCUGGACCAACACUGACACUGAGGAGCGAAAGCCAGGGGAGCAAACGGG
rnacentral:rRNA from 1 species